rnacentral:misc_RNA from 1 species
CCGGGCCGGGAGAUUCCCCAAAUAUUGCACUGCUUGUAGCCAAUUUUGCCUAACGGGCAAACGUCCUUUCGCAGCGCAAUUCCAAUUUCCCAACAAGACGUUGCUGAUCGGCCACGCCUGUAAAAAAGCCGCAAUCANNNNNNNNCAGAUGCAGAAUGUCGUUGUAGGUCGCGAAGAUCAUCAACAUCAGCACGAGCGCCAGUCCGACCCGGAAACCCAGCUCCUGCGACCGCUCCGACAACGGCUUC